UCUAUAUCAUUGAAGAUCCCUAGGAAGAUCAAAUUCCUAGCUUACAUUUGCAUGGUGAGUUCAACAAGUACUUGUUAUUAGAGGACAAGUAACACUAACACAGUUAGUGGUGUAGGGAAGCAAACGAAUGUAACACCAAUUGAAAGUCCUUCAACAAGUAGAGAUGCACACAUGUUUCAAUCAUUUGAGAUACCCUUUUGUAGAAGUAUUUGGAAGAUAACUAUUAAUAAUUUCAUUUGUAAAGAUACGAUUUGUAAAAAAGUAUAUACAAAGUGGUUUUGCUGGUAUUAAAUAAAUAAAUAAAAAUAC